rnacentral:lncRNA from 10 species
CCUCGCUUCUUCUUUGUUCUAUCAAUAUGGUCCUUGAGUUGAAUGCGGACCUGUCGCUCAUUAGGUUGGUCUCGUAUAAAUGGAUGCUUCAUCAAUUGUUCUGUUGCUGGUCGCUGGCUGUGAUUCUUUACCAAGCAGCUCUCAAUAAAUGACUGGAAUUUUUUUGACCUGCCAAACAAAAGAAAUGAAUCCACAGAUAAAACGGCGAUCCAAAGAAAAGCAAAUGUGUAAUUUCUGAAAUGCUGGGACUUUUUCUUUUUUUAAGGUCCAAUUGGCUGGCAUAGGGAUCAUCCACUAAUCAGAAAACAGUUGUAGCACUAUAUUAGGCAUAAUGGGUUCAAAGGCAUCAUCAUCAUCAACGUGCAAUUGAGGUAGCAGAAGGUAGUUAUGCACAUGAAAGCAUUUUUGCACAAUUUAUAUGUAACAUUACAUAGCAGACCAAAAGGACGCAGGGAAGAAAAAGACCCCUAUGGGAAUCACAUCUAGAAGGGCUAUUGGAAUAAGGAAACCAUAGCUGGGCCUUUAAAAAUUAGGAGAAAAUCACUCUGGGGAAAGGAUAGUUCAGAUAUGUAGGAUGACAGUGAAAAACUCAGGCUAGGAUGAGAAUAAUGUAUGUUGGGGGACACUGAGGUGAGCCACUUAAAUAAGGCAGAAGAUGCAAGCUGGAGGAAAGUAAAACCAAGGUUGGAUAGGUAACAGGGAGUGCAUUUCGUAGAAAUGAGCAAGAUUUUUAUAUGAUGAAGUGAACUUUGAUUAGGCAAACUUUGUAACCAGUAGUUUCAGAAUCACUUUUGAACGCUGCUUUCCAAGGAAUAAGAACAUAUAAGUAUAUGUGUACCUUUGUCGUUAACUCAAGGACUUAGACAUUUAACUUUAAAGAAUUAAGUUCACACCCAGAUGCAAAUUUAUCUUCCUCUAGAAAGGCAAUAUUUCCUCAAAGAUAAACCCCACGCCAGAGACCUGGCAGGGGAGAGCUGGCGAGAGAUACCAUACCUACGAUUAUGGCA